rnacentral:rRNA from 1 species
GACGUAGGGGGCCAGCGUUGUUCGGAAUUACUGGGUGUAAAGGGUUCGUAGGCGGUGCGGCAAGUCGGGGGUGAAAUCUCUGGGCUUAACCCAGAGGCUGCUUCCGAAACUGCUGUGCUUGAGUGUGGGAGAGGCGAGUGGAAUUGCAGGUGUAGCGGUGAAAUGCGUAGAUAUCUGCAGGAACACCCGUGGCGAAAGCGGCGCGCUGGACCACUACUGACGCUGAGGAGCGAAAGCUAGGGGAGCAAACAGG